UACAGAGGUCCCAAGCGUUGUUCGGAUUUACUGGGCGUAAAGGGCGCGUAGGCGGUGCGGUAAGUCUUUUGUGAAAUCUCCGGGCUCAACUCGGAGUCUGCAGGAGAAACUGCCGUGCUUGAGUGUGGGAGAGGUGAGUGGAAUUCCCGGUGUAGCGGUGAAAUGCGCAGAUAUCAGGAAGAACACCCGUGGCGAAGGCGGUUCUCUGGGACGGUACUGACGCUGAGACGCGAAAGCGUGGGGAGCGAACAGG
rnacentral:rRNA from 1 species